UCAAAUGAAGUUUGUUGGCAACUUUCAUGACCAACAGCAAACAGGAGCAUUCAGCUCUGAAUGCUUUGCUUUGUUCCUCCCACUGGAACUGAUUCCGAUGAGUCUAACGAAGCAGGAAGGGAAAUUUCCUGUCACAGGGCGAGUCCAGCUUUAUGCUCUGCAAUACGAGGAGGGAGAAUGUGAGGAAUGUCUGACAGUAGGACGAAGAGGAGGAGAAACUCUUAACUUCAAUAGAAAUUUGUUCCCUCGACCGCCUCAAACUAGAAGAGAAUAAAAGAAACAGCAUAACUGAAACAGUUUUUCAGUCUGUUAGUCUAGAUCUGGUGUGUCCAUGUCUAGUCUAACAGUAUCAACGUCAUGCAGAGACCUGGACACAAAGGCUGACAAAGCAGCAAAAUGUUGAGGCUGAUAAAGAAGAAAACUAACAGAUGAAGAUGAUGUCCAGCAUCCUGCUGCUCCUCAUCCUCAGCUCAUGUCUCUGUGCAGCAACAUUUGUAGUGAAUGUGACACAGAGCAGCUAUCAGGCAGAGGAGAAGCAGAGCAUCACUCUGGAGUGGACCUUCACCACCAAGACUCAGGGAACCUGGAAGAAUCUGU